CAGUUUACUGGUCAAUUCAGAGUUGUUCACUUUAGAUUUUCUUAACGGUUAGUAUCAUCUCUAUAUUACAGAUAUUUCGUAAGUAACUGUAAUUAUGUAAUAGACAAAUACUGGUCUUAACAGUUUAAUCACGUGUUCAAAGAAAAGAAGCAUUACGUCCAAAUGGAGAUGUUUUUUAUUAAUAUUUCAUCUUCUCAUUAGCUAAUUUAAUUUCAUUUUAAUGUCUAAAAUAAUUUUGAAAUAUAUUGCAGUUCAUAGAUUAACUCAAAGUGAUAAAACUAUCGAUCAAGUAUUUCCACUAUACUUCUGUACAUCUGUUUACUUCAUUAUCUACUUAUUUGAUUCGUGCAAAUCUCUUAAAAUGUAGGCGAUGUGAACUUUACAUAGGUGUUAUUAUAGUUCAUCUUGUUUUUAUGUAUAGCUGUAUUCCACGAAUUUGCAAGCCCUGGUUUCUUAUGUACUUUAAAUGACUUUUACCGAGGUCCAAUCAAAUGGCAAAUUGAAAUAUACUAGCAAGUUUUCUUCAAGGAAGCACUUGACCGAACAGGAUUCAGAUCUUAAAAAAGCAGAAAUAAGACAUGCACUUCCUACAACAAAUCACGAUAUGUAAGAUGAGGUACUAUUAAAGAAAUCGUUCUACCUUCUUACUGAUAUAAGUCAAUAUCGGCGAAAGUUACUGAUACAGGGAUAUCGACAAUUACAACAGUGAUUAUGGAGGUCAAAAUCAUGCUAGCUUUUGUUUUCUGUGCCUGUGUUUGGCUUGCAGAAGGAAAUACUGAAAAG
rnacentral:lncRNA from 1 species